rnacentral:tRNA from 1 species
UUACCCUGUAGUUUAGUGGUAGAACUGCUGACUCUGGAUCAGCUAACAGAGGUUCGAAUCCUUUCAGGGUAACCAU